UUCACCAAGAUAAAAUUCAGUUGCCUAAGGCUGCAUUUCCUGAUGGAAGCUGUAGGGGAGAAUCUGUUUCCUGCUUAUCAGGGACUCUUGUGAUUACAUUGGGCUCACCCAGAUAG
rnacentral:lncRNA from 1 species